GACAGAGGGGGCAAGCGUUGCUCGGAAUUACUGGGCGUAAAGGGCGCGUAGGCGGGAUGGCAAGUCGGUCGUGAAAGCCUUCGGCUCAACCGAAGAACGUCGGCCGAUACUGCCGUUCUUGAGGGAUGCAGAGGAGACUGGAAUUCCCGGUGUAGCGGUGAAAUGUGUAGAGAUCGGGAGGAACACCGGUGGCGAAGGCGGGUCUCUGGGCAUCUCCUGACGCUGAGGCGCGAAAGCGUGGGGAGCAAACGGG
rnacentral:rRNA from 2 species